rnacentral:rRNA from 1 species
GAAUGCUGACAUAAGUAACGAUAAAGCGGGUGAAAAGCCCGCUCGCCGGAAGACCAAGGGUUCCUGUCCAACGUUAAUCGGGGCAGGGUGAGUCGACCCCUAAGGCGAGGCCGAAAGGCGUAGUCGAUGGGAAACGGGUUAAUAUUCCCGUACUUGGUGUUACUGCGAAGGGGGGACGGAGAAGGCUAUGUUGGCCGGGCGACGGUUGUCCCGGUUUAAGCGUGUAGGUGUGUGUUCCAGGUAAAUCCGGUUCACUUUAACACUGAGGCGUGACGACGAGGCACUACGGUGCUGAAGCAACAAAUGCCCUGCUUCCAGGAAAAGCCUCUAAGCAUCAGGUAACAUCAAAUCGUACCCCAAACCGACACAGGUGGUCAGGUAGAGAAUACCAAGGCGCUUGAGAGAACUCGGGUGAAGGAACUAGGCAAAAUGGUGCCGUAACUUCGGGAGAAGGCACGCUGACACGUAGGUGAAGUGAUUUACUCAUGGAGCUGAAGUCAGUCGAAGAUACCAGCUGGCUGCAACUGUUUAUUAAAAACACAGCACUGUGCAAACACGAAAGUGGACGUAUACGGUGUGACGCCUGCCCGGUGCCGGAAGGUUAAUUGAUGGGGUCAGCGCAAGCGAAGCUCCUGAUCGAAGCCCCGGUAAACGGCGGCCGUAACUAUAACGGUCCUAAGGUAGCGAAAUUCCUUGUCGGGUAAGUUCCGACCUGCACGAAUGGCGUAAUGAUGGCCAGGCUGUCUCCACCCGAGACUCAGUGAAAUUGAACUCGCUGUGAAGAUGCAGUGUACCCGCGGCAAGACGGAAAGACCCCGUGAACCUUUACUAUAGCUUGACACUGAACAUUGAGCCUUGAUGUGUAGGAUAGGUGGGAGGCUUUGAAGUGUGGACGCCAGUCUGCAUGGAGCCGGCCUUGAAAUACCACCCUUUAAUGUUUGAUGUUCUAACGUGGACCCGUAAUCCGGGUUGCGGACAGUGUCUGGUGGGUAGUUUGACUGGGGCGGUCUCCUCCUAAAGAGUAACGGAGGAGCACGAAGGUUGGCUAAUCCUGGUCGGACAUCAGGAGGUUAGUGCAAUGGCAUAAGCCAGCUUGACUGCGAGCGUGACGGCGCGAGCAGGUGCGAAAGCAGGUCAUAGUGAUCCGGUGGUUCUGAAUGGAAGGGCCAUCGCUCAACGGAUAAAAGGUACUCCGGGGAUAACAGGCUGAUACCGCCCAAGAGUUCAUAUCGACGGCGGUGUUUGGCACCUCGAUGUCGGCUCAUCACAUCCUGGGGCUGAAGUAGGUCCCAAGGGUAUGGCUGUUCGCCAUUUAAAGUGGUACGCGAGCUGGGUUUAGAACGUCGUGAGACAGUUCGGUCCCUAUCUGCCGUGGGCGCUGGAGAACUGAGGGGGGCUGCUCCUAGUACGAGAGGACCGGAGUGGACGCAUCACUGGUGUUCGGGUUGUCAUGCC